rnacentral:tRNA from 1 species
UAGGGUGUAGCUCAUGGUAGAGCACUUGACUAGCAUGUGUAAGAUCCUGGGUUCCAUCCCCAGCAUUCCAA